UAUUAGGAAGAGUCCUGUGUUAUAAAAAAGAUUAUAAAUUGAUGAAUAUGAUGGCUAUUUAUAGAUUGUUGAUGAUAGAGCCAAUGUCAUAGGUGAUUGGUUGCCUAAUAUUCUCAAGAUUUUUGUUGAUACAUAGUUUUUCAAACUAAAUGAGCAAAUCCCAAACUCAACAAGGAGAUGGCUAGCUUUAUUAGAGUUGGGACCUUGGAG
rnacentral:lncRNA from 1 species